UACGUAGGGUGCAAGCGUUGUCCGGAAUUAUUGGGCGUAAAGAGCUCGUAGGCGGUUUGUCGCGUCUGCCGUGAAAGUCCGGGGCUCAACUCCGGAUCUGCGGUGGGUACGGGCAGACUAGAGUGAUGUAGGGGAGACUGGAAUUCCUGGUGUAGCGGUGAAAUGCGCAGAUAUCAGGAGGAACACCGAUGGCGAAGGCAGGUCUCUGGGCCACUACUGACGCUGAGAAGCGAAAGCAUGGGGAGCGAACAGG
rnacentral:rRNA from 1 species